UGUUUGCAUUGAAAUGGAACUUUUAUGACGGCUGUGAAGUUUAAAGUGCUAUAUAUGGUAUCCUACAAGGUUUGGGACUGUUAUAGGUGCUGGCUGCUGCUACUGGUGCCGCCGGCUUACAGACGCAAAAGGAUUCUUUCCAAUGCCCUGCAUGUGGUACGACUGGCCGCAGCGUUGGACGUGACAAAAGUGUGCAAGUUCAUGUGCGGGGCAUAAGUGUUGGUGUUCAAGUGAACUUGACCAUAAAGAAAAGAAAGAUGAGGGCCUGCAGGUUGACAUUCAGGAUGUACCGCUGACAUCAACACCAGUGAAGCGAUGACAUAUCCUUGACGAACCCAGCUUUGCCGCCUCACCUAUCUUGUCACCUGUUCCAACCAAUGUCGACACUACUGGCUCCUUAUAUCAACCAGAUGAAUUGACUCAGACCUUAGACUCCACACUGGAUGAGGAUGAUGCAGGUGAUGGGGACAUGGGAGACGUUGAGCUGCCUGGCUAUUACCUCAUCUUCCACACAUGUCUCAUGGUGCUCUUGAAGCUGUGCCGCACAUGCCUGUCCACUGCCUGCACCGUAAAAGUAC